AUCCCAUGGAAUGGACACAAUCUCAAUAGAUCUUUAUAACGCUCUCAUGCGUCAAAUAAGAACUCUCCCUCAUCUUGCCUAAAAUUGUUAAUUUCAUUCCUUGCUU